CCGACCGAGCGAGGCUCGCGUUUCUUAACAAGACCAAGCUUGUACAAUCACAUGACCGUCAACAACGUGAUUCCUGCUGAAAUCAAUUAGCUAAGUGAAUUUACAAAGUCUGCAGUCACUAGAAUGAGGGGACUACGGAGAAUCCAAUAAUGUCUGUUUGGAGGAGCAGGCUUGUUUUUUGGCCCCUGACAAUGCAAUUACAGCCCCGCCGAUUGUCGUGUGUGUGCAUUAAGUACCUCCCCCAAAACGAGGCCGAUUAAUGAAGGGGCUCCUCGGGGCCGAAGAAGAAGCCCCAGGCACCCACACACAGAGGAGAGGAACUGUUGUUGGGGGUCAGGCCGCUACACAUGCUCCAUAUUAAUGCAGCAUGGAGUGGGCGCCUUUCCAGUGCUGUGCUGCUGGGUGGAAUAUGGGUUUGAAACGACAUUAGGGGUCCCCCUUCAAGAUCCAGUCCGAGUCCUGUUCAAGCCCAGGCUCGAGAAAAAAGAUGCCCGGUUUGUGAAUAUGUCCUCCUACCAAGACAGAAAACUGCAUCACACUGAACCACAGUCUAAGCUGGUACCACACCGAAAACACCUAGCAGUCCUGCCAAAGUAAAGUUUGAGUGCUGUGCAUAGUUACGAUGUAGACUGUGUGCUCAUCGGCUUGGCGGUGGCAGACAUCGCAGAAGUCAGGGGACAGCCGACGGACGGAGCCAAGACUCUGUGACAGAUCGCCACAGCUGACAGCCUUUAACGUCCCAUCUAAUUUAUGUCGUGGAGGGAAUGGGAAUGAAAUGUUAAUAAAGAAUCUCUGCAUCACAUAUUCUUAACUGCAGCCUCAGGCCUCACUCUGCAUCUGUCAUGGAGAUGAAUACAGAGAAAGGGAAGGAGGAGGGAGUACAGGGUGGCACAGAGGGAUGGCGAGUUAUCUUUACACAUGUAGCUGAAGCCAAAGUCAUUUUAGACUUAAAAUGAGCAGGCUUAACAAGCUCAACAAAAUGAGUACCGUGUUUACAAAAUAAGCCACUAUAUUUGCUAUUAGUUCCGAAUCGUAGAUUAUAUCCUGAUUGAGUGUUCAGGCAGUUUGAAUUGACUGAGUGCGUGGCUAACAUUUAUCUCAUGUCUCAAGGCUGUCAUUAAAUAGAUUCUCUUGUCUGAUUAGUUAAACAUGAUAUUGAGCUGUUUGGAUUUCCUCCAGCCAGGAUGACAAAUGAGCCGGGUCAUCUUACACAGCCAGGCCUGAAGAGGGCAAUGUGUGCUUGUGUCAAGAUUAGGCAUGUUUCUCACACCUUUCAAUAAAUGACUGCAAA